GACGAACGCUGGCGGCGUGGAUUAGGCAUGCAAGUCGAACGGUAUCAUCCUUUCGGGGGUGAGAGAGUGGCGAACUGGUGAGUAACACGUAGGUUAUCUACCCUCAAGACGGGGACAACCCAGGGAAACUUGGGCUAAUACCGGAUGUGAGCAACUUUUAGUUGUUUGAAAGGUGGCGUAAGCUGUCGCUUGGGGAUGAGCCUGCGUCCUAUUAGUUAGUUGGUGAGGUAACGGCUCACCUAGGCAAUGAUAGGUAGGCGGCCUUAACGGGUGGUCGCCCACACUGGGAUUGAGAUACGGCCCAGACUCCUACGGGAGGCAGCAGUCGAGAAUAGUCUACAAUGGUCGGAAGACUGAUAGUGCGACGCCGCGUGAACGAUGAAUCCCUUCGGGGUGUAAAGUUCUUUUAUAUGUGAGCAGUGACAUCUAUAUUAAUAGUAUGGGUGUAGAGAUAUUAGCAAUAUGAAUAAAGCAACGGCUAAACUCCGUGCCAGCAGCCGCGGUAAAAC
rnacentral:rRNA from 1 species